CUGCUCACUUGGGCAGCACAUACACUGAAAUUGGAACAAUACAGAGAUUAGCAUGGCCCCAUGCAAGGAUGACACGUAAAUUUGUGAAGCAUUCCAUAUUUUA
ensembl:snRNA U6 U6 spliceosomal RNA